rnacentral:rRNA from 1 species
AACGAACGCUGGCGGCAUGCCUAACACAUGCAAGUCGAACGAGACCUUCGGGUCUAGUGGCGCACGGGUGCGUAACGCGUGGGAACCUGCCCUUAGGUUCGGAAUAACUCCCCGAAAGGGGUGCUAAUACCGGAUAAUGUCUUCGGACCAAAGAUUUAUCGCCUUUGGAUGGGCCCGCGUUGGAUUAGCUAGUUGGUAGGGUAAAAGCCUACCAAGGCGACGAUCCAUAGCUGGUCUGAGAGGAUGAUCAGCCACACUGGGACUGAGACACGGCCCAGACUCCUACGGGAGGCAGCAGUGGGGAAUAUUGGACAAUGGGCGAAAGCCUGAUCCAGCAAUGCCGCGUGAGUGAUGAAGGCAUUAGGGUUGUAAAGCUCUUUUAACCGGGAUGAUAAUGACAGUACCGGGAGAAUAAGCCCCGGCUAACUCCGUG